rnacentral:tRNA from 1 species
ACUUUCAUGGUUCAGUUGGUUAGAGCUUAGGUCUUGUAACCGGAAGAUCCCAGGAUCGAAUCUCGCCAGAGGCA